rnacentral:tmRNA from 1 species
GCCGGGUUCGCCCGGCUAUGGCGAUAAACAAUGGCGUAUAAUAGAUGCAGCGGACCCGGGGGCAGUACCCGGCGGCUCCACCA